rnacentral:lncRNA from 1 species
GUUUUCACACUGACGAUUCCGUCAGCCACUGCCGUUUACUGGUCGUUUGGCGACCAGCUACUCAACCACUCCAACGCCUUUUCUCUCCUCCCCAAGAACGGCUGGCGUGACGCUGCCGUUAUCCUAAUGCUCAUUCACCAGGUUCAAUUCCAAUUCACAUUUAUUGGCUUUACGGAUUUGCCCUUGCUGGAGCAACUUAUUUACUGAAAAGGAAAAUGCAAAAUUAUUUACCGUGCAGUUCAUCACAUUUGGGUUCGCUUGCACGCCGUUGUACUUUGUGUGGGAGAAGGUAAUCGGGAUGCACGACACA